rnacentral:rRNA from 1 species
AACGCGAAGAACCUUACCCAGGCUUGACAUGCACUGGACAGUUCCAGAAAUGGAAUCUCCCUUCGGGGCCGGUGCACAGGUGCUGCAUGGCUGUCGUCAGCUCGUGCCGUGAGGUGUUUGGUUAAGUCCAGCAACGAGCGCAACCCUUAUCAUUAGUUGCCAACGCGUAAAGGCGGGAACUCUAAUGAGACUGCCCGGGUUAACCGGGAGGAAGGUGAGGAUGACGUCAAGUCCGCAUGGCCCUUAUGUCUGGGGCUACACACGUGCUACAAUGGUCGGUACAGAAGGCAGCGAAACCGCGAGGCGGAGCAAAUCCCUAAAACCGAUCUCAGUUCAGAUUGUAGUCUGCAACUCGACUACAUGAAGACGGAAUUGCUAGUAAUGGCAGGUCAGCAACACUGCCGUGAAUACGUUCCCGGGCCUUGUACACACCGCUAGUC